UCUAUUCUAAUCCUUUGCUGUACAUUCAAACCUGAGGCCUGAAAUAGAAACACACAAGUAUCUGAUUGAAGGAACUUCUGCAGAGUCCUGGUUCCAGAACAUGAUGAUAGAAUUAUAGACAAACUUUAACAAAAGCUGUCUGAGAGUUUACAGGUUUUUAUGUUAGAUUUCUUCAGUAAUUUAAUGAACGUUAUCAGCAAAAAUCAAGUGUUCAUUUGAUGAACUUCAUUUCCUAAAACAUCCAGAAUUGGAGCUCAUAUCUUUGGCAGCUGUAAAGUUUCUGCUCCUUCAAAGUUCAAAAUGAAUGAAUUCCUAAAACACUCUCAAUGCUGGAGAGCGUUUGUGAUGCUGAAGCAGUGACCAGUUUUUCUGUUUCUUCUCUGGAGAUGCACAAUGAGGGACGUCUGCAGAGACUGAGAAAGAGUCUCACCACAUCCUGACAUGAGGAAAAAGACUUUAUUGAAGACUACAAUGAGAAAAACUAUCAGACAGCAGAGGGCUGCAUUCAAGGUUUCCCAGAGACUAUGGGUUGAGGAGGAAUUGGAAGUUUGUCGGCUUAGACCUGGUGUCAUUCCAUCAGUGUUAAACUUCCCGGCUCAUCUUGGAAGAGUACGUGCCAGAAAGACCACGACCAAGCAGCCUUGAGAUCUUAGACAGCGUCUCCCUUAGGUCCCUCUCUAUCUCCCCACACAUCCACCAACCACUGGAACACAUCUCCAAAGUUCUGCUGGGCCAGCUGAGCUUCCCCUCAGAAGAAGUGCUGCCACCUGCCAGAUGAAGGAGCCUUUUGAGAGGCAGCUGGCAUCGUGAUUGGACUGUACUUUGGUCUGUUCCAGUCCAGCUUCAGUUCCAGAGACGGCAGGUGGGAUCAGUCAACGGAGGCCUGGUGGACGAAGGCAUGCAGCUGAGUACAAUCCAGAAAACAACAGAGGAGGAGUGCAGCAGCCAGAACAACCAGAGUAGCAUCGUAUGUCUCUUAGAAAACAUCAUAGUAUAGCCUUUGGUAUGAAAAAACGCCAUCAUAUACAUCGUAUAUUGUACAAAUAACAAGUCAAAGGAAAGAGACAUCAACUGUAAAAUUGUAGUAAUUGUGGGCUGACUGAUUUACUGAUUAUCAGUAUUUUAUUUUUGACUGAUUUACGGUAAUAAAUACAUUUAAAAAUGGUGCUACUUUGGCUCUGAACCUUUAUCUACCUGUGGUCGCUCUGUCUUCUGGAGUGAUUUGAUUGGUUAUACGUCACGAAUAAAACUCCUUUAACAUCUGUAAACAAAACAAAAACGUAUCAACAAAGUUUUCUGUUAGAAUUUGUGUUCUUCUAAGUUUAACUCCAAGAUUUUAAAUACUUUCAUUUACUGCAAAUGAAUAUCUACUCCAAAUGUCUCACUAAUAAUCAUUAUCAGCCUUAAAAACCCACAAAACACCCCUCUAUACUCGACCACACUUAGUACAGUCCGGUUCC
ensembl:lncRNA